rnacentral:rRNA from 1 species
AUACGGAGGGUCCAAGCGUUAUCCGGAAUCAUUGGGUUUAAAGGGUUCGCAGGCGGUUCAUUAAGUCAGUGGUGAAAUCUCUCGGCUCAACCGAGAAACUGCCAUUGAUACUGAUGGACUUGAAUAUAGUUGGAGUAGGCGGAAUGUGUAGUGUAGCGGUGAAAUGCUUAGAUAUUACACAGAACACCGAUAGCGAAGGCAGCUUACUAAACUAUUAUUGACGCUCAUGAACGAAAGCGUGGGGAGCGAACAGGAUUAGAUACCCUAGUAGUCC